ensembl:lncRNA
UUUAAUAAUCAUGUUAUAUAAUUAUGCAUUGGACAUGUUUGAUAGUUUAUUAUUUAAAGAUAUAGCUACUGUUUUAUAUAGUUUAUCUAUUUUUGCUUCUGAUUCGAUAAAUCAAAACAUUUUAGCUGUUAUUAAGACUAAGCAUCUGGAAGAGUAUGGAUUUGCAUAUGAUUAUUUGACAAUUGUAAAAAAAAAAAACACACAAACACAAAUGGAUGUUACAGAAAAAGAUAAACAUAUACUUCAGACGUCACUAUGUGACAAGGAGAAUACAGAACAUGAUACAAAUAAAUGCAAACAGAAUUUUACUUAUUUUAAUAACCCAUUUGACAACAAAAAUAAAUACCAAAUCAAGAAUUUGACACAUGACAAUAAAUUGAAUGAAAAAAAAUACACAUUUUUUUUACUAUUUGAAAACUUUUUAUUAUAUUCUAUGAAUAAAAUUAAAAAUGAAAAAGAUAAAAUAACAAUGCGAGUAUGGGCUAAUUUAUUUUGGUCAUGUGCGACUGUAGGGUUAGGUUUAUAUACAGAUCAUUAUUCUCAGCACCAGUUGAGUUAUUAUUUAUAUUUUGUGCAUAAUAAGGAUAUGGCUUCAUCAGUUGACGGUAGUAGUGACAGUGGUAACCCAAAUGAAAUAACAUAUGUGGAAGACACGAAUUCUAUGUAUCAUUUAUUUGUUAACGAAAACCAUUUCAAACAAAUUGAUACUAUAAAUUAUAUUGUAAGUUCCAAAGAAAAAAAUGGUAAUUAUGAUAAAACAAAUUCAGUUCAUACUUUUAAACCAUAUGUUUAUAUUAUUAACAAGUCAUAUAUUUUUCCAUUAAACAAUUUUUUUUAUUCUCAAAACAAAUUGCCUAUAAAUAAAGAUACAGCUUUGAGUAACAUAAGCUUAUAUGUCGACUUGGAUUUGUUUAAUUCUGGUUCGAAUAAAAUAAACUUCGAAACGAAUUCAGUUGGGACAACUGAUGUGGUUGUGAGUGAUAAGAUUGACACAAUGGUCGAUGGCAUAGCAAACAAUAUACGCAGUGAUAUUAUUAAACAAAGUGGCAGUGGUGGUAGUAGUGGUAGUAGUGGUAGUAGUGGUAGUAGUGGUAGUAGUNNNNNNNNNNGUGGUAGUAGUGGUAGUAGUGGUAGUAGUGGUAGUAGUGGUAGCAGUAGUAGUAGUGAUAGCAGUAGUAGUAGUGAUAGCAGUGAUUACUCAAAAUUUAUGAACGCGUUAAACAAUAAAGGGGUAAAUAAGUAUCACACAAUUAAUACGAAUAAAAUACUAUUAGAUUUGCUUACACUGUUUGAAGAUGAAAUAAAAGAAAAAAAAAUAAAAAUAAGAAAAUGUGAUGUACAAUCCAUGGCUAAUAUAUUAUGGAGCUUAUCAACCUUGAAUAUAUUUUCGAAGAAUAUAUUUAACAACUUCAUAACUGAAUGUAACAAAUUAUUUCUUAAAUUUGGUAAAAAGAAAAGUAGCACAAGAUUAAAUUAUUUUAUAUCUCAGUUACACCAAUCGCAAAUAUAUCAAGCAACCUUUUCUUAUUGUCUGUAUUUGUUAAGCAAAGAAACAUCAGUAAAAACUGGUAACACAUUGAUAUCUAUGAAAAAUAACUUAAAAACAAACUUUUUUUUAUUUAUAAAAAACAAAAUGGAAAAUAUUUUUAAAAAUAAAUUAAAAAUAUCAUUAUAUACACUAAAUAUAUGGAAAAAGCAAUUAGCUAGAAAUCAAAGAAAAGAAGAAAAAAAUAAUAUAUCAUCUUCUGUACAUAAAAAAAUAUCAAAUGAUUUAAAAAAAUUAAAUAUAUUCCAUUAUAACGAAUAUUUUAUUUUUAAUUCAAUUCUAGUUGAUAUAUAUAUACCUGAUUCGAAGGUACUCCAUUUGUACGAUGUUUAGUUUAGUUUCUAUAAAUAAUGCACACAUGCGUUAUAUGACACAUGGUGCUGAUGUUCUAUAUAUUAUGUUACAUACAUACCGAUU